GAUGCAUUUCUAGAGAUAGAAAGUUACUUCGGUACAUCGGUGACAGGUGGUGCAUGGUUGUCGUCAGCUCGUGUCGUGAGAUGUUGGGUUAAGUCCCGCAACGAGCGCAACCCCUAUUGUUAGUUGCCAUCAUUCAGUUGGGCACUCUAGCGAGACUGCCGGUAAUAAACCGGAGGAAGGUGGGGAUGACGUCAAAUCAUCAUGCCCCUUAUGACCUGGGCUACACACGUGCUACAAUGGUUGGUACAACGAGUUGCGAGUCGGUGACGGCGAGCUAAUCUCUUAAAGCCAAUCUCAGUUCGGAUUGUAGGCUGCAACUCGCCUACAUGAAGUCGGAAUCGCUAGUAAUCGCGGAUCAGCACGCCGCGGUGAAUACGUUCCCGGGCCUU
rnacentral:rRNA from 1 species